UUCUAACCCUUUUUCCCAUCGAUCCUCAUCUUUGUACUCAUCAUCUUCCUCCUUUGAUUCAGUCAAUCUAUCUUCGAAAUCAACAAUCCAUCAUUAAUUAGUCUAUAAUUAUGGUGAAUCGUUUACAAUGUCUCACUACUCAUCGUCAUCAUCUUUGAAACAUCUGAUUUGCUCUUGUGGUGCAGCCUUGUUAUAACCAUACUCAAUAUGAUGAGGUUGAAAAACAAGUUGUAAAUGUGGAAGAAAAAGAAGUGGUUCAAGAUAACUUUGGUGAGGUCUACAACAUGAAGAAGAGUUGCAAGCGAAAUAUGGAAUGGAUUACAACAACUUCGUAGAAUAGAUGUAAGAAGAAUAUGAAAAGGAUCUAGAGUUGGAAUAUGACAUUGAGGUAUUAAAAAAGGCUUGGGACUACGAAAGCCCCGAACAAGGGGAGGACCACUUGUACCACAAUCCGUAUUAAAGGCAAGCAUGAAUGAGAUUCUGAAUGGUAAAACGAUGAGUGUCAUAAACAAUAAUGUAUAUCAUGUUU
rnacentral:lncRNA from 1 species